rnacentral:rRNA from 1 species
AACGAACGCUGGCGGCAUGCCUAACACAUGCAAGUCGAACGAAGCCUUCGGGCUUAGUGGCGCACGGGUGCGUAACGCGUGGGAAUCUGCCCGUUGCUUCGGAAUAACAGUUAGAAAUGUCUGCUAAUACCGGAUGAAGUCUUCGGACCAAAGAUUUAUCGGCACGGGAUGAGCCCGCGUAGGAUUAGGUAGUUGGUGGGGUACAGGCCUACCAAGCCGAGGAUCCUUAGCUGGUCUGAGAGGAGGAUCAGCCACACUGGGACUGAGACACGGCCCAGAAUGGGACGGGAGGCAGCAGUAGGGAAUAUUGGACGAGGGACGCAAGUCUAAUCCAGCAAUGCCGCGUGAGUGAUGAAGGCCUUAGGGUUGUAAAGCUCUUUUACCAGGGAUGAUAAUGACAGUACCUGGAGAAUAAGCACCGGCUAACUCCGUG